rnacentral:rRNA from 1 species
AUUGAACGCUGGCGGCAGGCCUAACACAUGCAAGUCGAACGGUAACAGGGAUCAGCUUGCUGAUUCGCUGACGAGUGGCGGACGGGUGAGUAAUGUCUGGGAAACUGCCUGAUGGAGGGGGAUAACUACUGGGAAACGGUAGCUAAUACCGCAUAACGUCGCAAGACCAAAGAGGGGGACCUUCGGGCCUCUUGCCAUCGGAUGUGCCCAGAUGGGAUUAGCUAGUAGGUGGGGUAACGGCUCACCUAGGCGACGAUCCCUAGCUGGUCUGAGAGGAUGACCAGCCACACUGGAACUGAGACACGGUCCAGACUCCUACGGGAGGCAGCAGUGGGGAAUAUUGCACAAUGGGCGCAAGCCUGAUGCAGCCAUGCCGCGUGUAUGAAGAAGGCCUUCGGGUUGUAAAGUACUUUCAGCGGGGAGGAAGGGAGUAAAGUUAAUACCUUUGCUCAUUGACGUUACCCGCAGAAGAAGCACCGGCUAACUCCGUG